AUUUUAUUUCCAUUUUGGAAUGCAACCCCUAGUAAUUGACUCCAUGAAGACUCAGUUCUUAUAUGUUGGUGGUGUCUCAUGUAUUCAUACCACCUCCUGAUCCUAAAUUCUCUUUUCAAAGUUGUUCUAUCUUUUACCCAUUUAUUGCCAUGACCAAACUAUCUAUAUCCCAGCUUUAAACUUAAAAACUUAAAAUUUUACUACUUUAAGCCUUGAUCUUUGAUCUUAAUACUUAGAUGAAGAAUAGAAGUUUUGGAAGAAAGCAAAACUUCUGUACAACCUAAGGAGAUAUCUUAUGAAGAAAUAACCUUUCUCUUGCCUUGGUAAAAAUGUUGACCACAUGUAUUUCAAUUCAGUUUAUGUCAUAAAGUUAUAAAGCUAAAGACUGCUUACUCACAGAGAUGGUUAUGGAGGAGUCUGUGUCUAUCAGACUUCAUGCCUUUAAAUUAAAAAGGCUAUCACCAUGUCAUUCAAACAGAGGUAAUAAAACAUGAGUAUUAGGUGGACCUAUGGCUUCGAACAUGGCAAUUACCUUGCCUCUCUCGCUUUUCUUCUGUCUCUAUUGUUUGCACUCAUUACUGUUCAAUUUCUACCCAGCUCUAGAGCCUCGUAUAUUUGUCUCCAAUGUUUUCAUGUCCCAAACUUGCCAACAUAUUUGCUUUCUCUGUUCUUGGUGGUUGGGAUGCCUGGGAAAAUCUUCUGCACUCCAGUUUUUUUCUGCUCCUGGAUACUCACAGUAGCUACCUGGCAUUCCUUCACUUCCCCUGUCCCUAAGAACAUAAAAACCAUGAAAAGUGAAGUGAAAGUGGUAACUUGAAGAAAGUUCACUACACUGUUGUUGCUACCUUGCAAAGGAGCUGUGGAUUCUUGGGAGGCCUCAGAGAAGCCAUGGAUGGCUCCGAAAAAAAAAAAAAAAAAGAACCUGGGUUUUAAUCUACCUUUGACCUAUAAAUGUUUACAUCAGAUUAUCUCCUAGGAGUCAGAAAACAAUAUGGCUCUGCCAGUGGAUGACACAUGGAUGAGGUUCAGACAAGCCUAAUACAACUCGAAGGCACACUGCCCUGAUAAUACGCACUGAGUACUAAAGAGAAGAAAUGCCCCAGUGGAUGCCUAGCCCACAUGGAUUUCAACCCUGAGCAAUUUGAGCUUUGAAGUUUGCACAUGGGCAUUGUUCACCUCGUCAGGAAGAAUCAGCUUUUCCAUGAAGAAAGGAGUGUGAAGGAUCCUAUGAAACCAGUUGAAAUUUGGACUACACUGUUUUUACUGUGAGCUGCUAAGUUUGGGAGUCUUGUGGACAGAAUCCAGAGUGAGCCACCCCAUGCUUAGUUCAUCAUGUGACCUCUCUUCCAGCACUUCGGAUCUUAGCUUUUGGGCCUGAAGACUAAGAAUGGAGCAUCAAUAAUUAAAGAGAAGUUUGCCAGCCUUCGCUCCAUGGUCCCUGUGUCCUCUGCAUUCAACAAGCAGGAAUAAAAGUGCAUGGAGAACUUAUAAAUGCGUCUUUAAAGCCUAGGAUGAGAGAAGACAUUUCAUUUCUUCUAUUUCUAUUUUAUUGGUGAAACUUGGUCACAUGGCCACAAUAGAUGUAAACAGUUCCAGGAAAUGUAGUCUUUGGCUAAGAAGUCUCCUCCCAGCAAUGACUUGACAUUAUGAAGGGUAGCACCCAGAUUUUGGUAAACAAUUAUCAAUUUCUGCUACAAAACACAUCAUCAUAGCCUUGAAAGAGACCUUAUGGGAGCACCUGGGUGGCUCAGUUGGUAAAGUAUCUGCCUUCCACACAGGUCCUGAUCCCAGAGCCCAGGAUUAAACUCUUUAUCAGGCUCUCUGCUCAAGGAGAGUCUGCUUUUCCCUGUGCCCCUCACCACUCUUGUG